AAGGAAGCAUGUAUAGGGGGUACAUAUGGUGGCAGUUGUAUGCUCAGCAGAAGAAGCACCAGGGAGGUGAAGGUCACGUUGACAGCAUGAACCUUCGAUGUGAUGUGAGGAAAAUGGCAUUCUACCUCUGUGUUCUUCCUCCCCAAAAUUUGUAACCACCAUCUAAUCAUGAGGAAAACAUCAUACAAGUCCAAAUUGAGGAAGAUUCUACAAAAUGCCUGAUUAAUAUUCAUCGAAACUGUCAAGGUCAUCAAAAGCAAGGAAAGUCUGAGAAACUGCCACAGCCUAAAGACAAUCCAGGGAAACGUGAUGACUCAGUGGUAUUCGGGGUGGGUUUCUGGAACAGCAAAAGGACAACAGUGUUAACAUCUGGGCCAAACAUCUGGGCAGCAACAUCAGAAAGCCCCUCUGCUGUGCUUCAGGAUCACUCUUAUCACUGCAUAAAGGGUAUGCUACAUUUUUGCAGAAAGUCAGGAGGUUUAGAAACCACACAGAGAAACAUUGCUUGGAAAGGGGAACUCUUCAAUCGUCUAAGAUUACAGAUCUUGGAAUUGGAAUGGUAUGCAGUUGAGUUUUCCAUUCACAGUUCCAGGAAAAAAUGGGAUUUUUUUCCCAUUAAGAAUACUGUUAUUUAGUUAUUUUGAAGUAUACAGUACAUACAUGCUUUUUUAUAAAACCACUGGAUUUCAUAAGUAGCACACAUUUGAGUAUUUCAAAAUCUCUCUACUGCUUUUAAAUCAGAUCUGGGGCUUGACUAUAGAAAAAAAUUUCAUUUCAAGUACAGAACAGAA
rnacentral:lncRNA from 1 species